rnacentral:misc_RNA from 1 species
GGCCUUAAGACCCCAUGGGUCCUUUAUAAACUCCUCAAGUCUAGUCACAUCUCUGAAGAACUCAUUUUUACCCUUUGAAAAACCAUGUGGGCAGAAGCAGAUCUUUCGGAUAGUUCAUUAUACGAGUCAUCAUCAUCAAUUGACACUCACGGGAACAUUUGUUUUUGCAGCAGUUACGCACAUGGCCUCAACAACAAACUU